UACGGAGGAUGCAAGCGUUAUCCGGAAUGAUUGGGCGUAAAGCGUCCGCAGGUGGCAAUGUAAGUCUGCUGUCAAAGCGUCUGGCUCAACCAGAUAAAGGCAGUGGAAACUACAUAGCUAGAGUAAGGUAGGGGUAGAGGGAAUUCCUGGUGUAGCGGUGAAAUGCGUAGAGAUCAAGAAGAACACCGGUGGCGAAAGCGCUCUGCUGGACCUUAACUGACACUGAGGGACGAAAGCUAGGGGAGCGAAUGGG
rnacentral:rRNA from 1 species